GAACGCUGGCGGCAGGCCUAACACAUGCAAGUCGAGCGGUAGAGAGGUGCUUGCAUCUCUUGAGAGCGGCGGACGGGUGAGUAAUGCCUAGGAAUCUGCCUGGUGGUGGGGAUAACGUUCGGAAACGGACGCUAAUACCGCAUACGUCCUACGGGAGAAAGCGGGGGAUCUUCGGACCUCGCGCCAUUAGAUGAGCCUAGGUCGGAUUAGCUAGUUGGUGAGGUAAUGGCUCACCAAGGCGACGAUCCGUAACUGGUCUGAGAGGAUGAUCAGUCACACUGGAACUGAGACACGGUCCAGACUCCUACGGGAGGCAGCAGUGGGGAAUAUUGGACAAUGGGCGAAAGCCUGAUCCAGCCAUGCCGCGUGUGUGAAGAAGGUCUUCGGAUUGUAAAGCACUUUAAGUUGGGAGGAAGGGUAGUAACCUAAUACGUUGCUACUUUGACGUUACCGACAGAAUAAGCACCGGCUAACUUCGUG
rnacentral:rRNA from 1 species